rfam:Nematostella vectensis strain CH2 x CH6 NEMVEscaffold_350_Cont24649, whole genome shotgun sequence.
ACCAGGAUGGCCGAGUGGUUAAGGCGUUGGACUUAAGUUUUAAUGUACGAAUGUACGCGUGGGUUCGAACCCCACUCCUGGUA